rnacentral:misc_RNA from 1 species
GAUGAAGAACGCAGCGAAAUGCGAUAAGUAAUGUGAAUUGCAGAAUUCAGUGAAUCAUCGAAUCUUUGAACGCACAUUGCGCCCGGCAGUACUCUGCCGGGCAUGCCUGUUCGAGCGUCAUUUCAACCCUCAAGCCCUGCUUGGUGUUGGGGCCCCACGGCUGCCGUGGGCCCUGAAAGGAAGUGGCGGGCUCGCUACAACUCCGAGCGUAGUAAUUCAUUAUCUCGCUUAGAGCGUUGGGCGGCGCUCCAGCCGUUAAAGAACCAUCUUUAACUCAAGGUUGACCUCGGAUCAGGUAGGAAUACCCGCUGAACUUAAGCAUAUCAAUAAGCGGAGGA